AGGGGUCAGGAAUUGUUGCAGUAGUGGCAGUAGAAGCUAAUGCAAUGGCAUCAUCAAUGCCAUAUCAAUGGCAACUGGUGAUCUUCUUUCAUCGUGUUCUUCUUGAUCUCUGGGACACUACCUCCUUAGCCUUUGGCUCUUGAUCCCCUCUAUGCUAGCAGUGGAAAAAUCAUGGGAUUGUAGUUUUUUGUUUUUGUUUUUUGAAACAGGGAAGAGUUGCUAGGAUAGGUCUCCCUAUCUCAAGCAAAGUCUCUCAUGUCCCAGCCCCACUACCAAGAAGCAUAGGUGACUCUCUCUAUCUAUUAACGACUGUAAGAUGCUCAAUUGAUCAGUUUUAGCCCAGUUGAAGCUCAGAACUUCUGAGGCCAAGUGAUGCUGUAGCUUCCCCAGGAACAGGGAUCACACAAACCAUGCCUGGGUGAAAUCAUAAACGUAAGAGCUAUAAGGGACCCUACCAAUAGGCAAGACUUUCAUUUUUGCAGACGAAGAGAGCCCAGAGAAAUCAAAAGACUUUCCUGGAAUCACAAACCUACUAAGCAGCAGAACCUGGAUGUGAACAAAGAUCCUCUGAUUCCUCAUCCAGCAUUUAUCCCGAAACACCAUACUGCUUCUCCUCUCUCAUCUUUUUAGUGGCUGCUGUGGAAGCCCUCAACUUUAUUUAGGACAUUCUUCUCUGCCUUGAUCAAACUUAGUUAUGCUUUCUCUCUGUCUUCCUCAUUUCUUUGCCUUUCCAUCUACCCUAUGGUACUUACUCAAGGCAAAAUAAUCAUAUUUCUCUUUCAGAGAAAGUAGCAGUGUUUGGAGGUUUCAACUGCUGGACCGAAAACUGCAAUGUACUGCUUCUCUUCCUGGAGACAGCAAGUCUUUGGGCAUUGUUACCUCACAGGCUCAUAGCAAAAACUCCUUGUGAUGCCACUUUUCUGAAUCCUUCUGGUAUGGUGGACUCCAACCUCAGUCUGGAUCCAAGGAGUGUCUUCCAGAUACCAGGAGUCACAAGGGAUACUUGGUGAGCCUACUUCUGACCAUGAGUGUCUCAGGGCUGAUGCGAUGUAAAUAGAAGAUUUUUUGUCUGCUGAGGAACCAGAAGGACUGGUGAGGAACCAGAAGGACAAGAGAUCCAGAGCCAGAACUGAUUUUUCACCCAAAGGAUCAAUAUGCCCUUCCUUCGUUCCCUCUUCUUUUGUGUUUUCUUUCAUGGUAAACGCAUGUAAAAGCAAAAACUUACAAUAGUAGCUAGGUAUCUCAGUGGAUAGAGGACCAGAUCUGGAGAUGGAAGAUCCUGGGUUCAAAAUUGACCUCAGAUACUUCCUAGCUGUGUGAUCCUGAGCAAGUCACUCAACCCCAAUUGCCUAGCUC
rnacentral:lncRNA from 1 species